rnacentral:tRNA from 1 species
UCCCUGGUGGCUCAGACGGUGGAGAAUCUGCCUGCAGUGCAGGAGACCUGGGUUUGAUCCCUGGGUAGGGAA